rnacentral:rRNA from 1 species
CCUACGGGAGGCAGCAGUGGGGAAUAUUGCACAAUGGGGGAAACUCUGAUGCAGCAACGCCGCGUGAGUGAUGAAGGCCUUCGGAUUGUAAAGCUCUGUUUGCAGGGAAGUGGAAGGACGGUACCUGCAGAGGAAGCCAAGGUUAACUACGUGCCAGCAGCCGCGGUAAUACGUAGGGGGCACGCGUUGUUCGGAAUAACUGGGCGUAAAGGAUGAGUAGGCGGUUAAACAAGUUAUAUGUUAAAGAUAUUGGCUUAACCUGUAGAAAGCAUAUAAAACUGGUUAACUAGAGUGCAGGAGGGGUAAGUGGAAUUCCUGGUGUAGCGGUGAAAUGCGUAGAGAUUAGGAAGAACACCGGUGGCGAAGGCGAGUUACUGGACUGUAACUGACGCUGAGGCAUGAGAGCAUGGGUAGCAAACAGGAUUAGAUACCCUUGUAGUC